rnacentral:rRNA from 1 species
GCCGGCAGCUAGCUCUCUGCAACUCUCACAUGGUCGCCCACUGAAGCUAAGCAGGGCUGCGCCCUGUCAGUACCUGGAUUGGAGACCACAUGGGAAAGCUAGGUUGCUGCCGGAA